UUAAGCGACUAAGCGUACACGGUGGAUGCCCUGGCAGUCAGAGGCGAUGAAGGACGUGCUAAUCUGCGAAAAGCGUCGGUAAGGUGAUAUGAACCGUUAUAGCCGGCGAUGUCCGAAUGGGGAAACCCAGUGCAAUUCGUUGCACUAUCGUUAACUGAAUACAUAGGUUAACGAGGCGAACCGGGGGAACUGAAACAUCUAAGUACCCCGAGGAAAAGAAAUCAACCGAGAUUCCCCCAGUAGCGGCGAGCGAACGGGGAGCAGCCCGGAGUCUGAAUCAGCUUGUGUGUUAGUGGAAGCGUCUGGAAAGUCGCAGGGUACAGGGUGAUACUCCCGUACACUAAAACACACAGGCUGUGAACUCGAAGAGUAGGGCGGGACACGUGGUAUCCUGUCUGAAUAUGGGGGGACCAUCCUCCAAGGCUAAAUACUCCUGACUGACCGAUAGUGAACCAGUACCGUGAGGGAAAGGCGAAAAGAACCCCGGCGAGGGGAGUGAAAAAGAACCUGAAACCGUGUACGUACAAGCAGUAGGAGCCCACUAGUUGGGUGACUGCGUACCUUUUGUAUAAUGGGUCAGCGACUUAUAUUCUGUAGCAAGGUUAACCGAAUAGGGGAGCCGCAGGGAAACCGAGUCUUAACUGGGCGUUAAGUUGCAGGGUAUAGACCCGAAACCCGGUGAUCUAGCCAUGGGCAGGUUGAAGGUUGGGUAACACUAACUGGAGGACCGAACCGACUAAUGUUGAAAAAUUAGCGGAUGACUUGUGGCUGGGGGUGAAAGGCCAAUCAAACCGGGAGAUAGCUGGUUCUCCCCGAAAGCUAUUUAGGUAGCGCCUCGUGAAUUCAUCUUCGGGGGUAGAGCACUGUUUCGGCUAGGGGGUCAUCCCGACUUACCAACCCGAUGCAAACUACGAAUACCGAAGAAUGUUAUCACGGGAGACACACGGCGGGUGCUAACGUCCGUCGUGAAGAGGGAAACAACCCAGACCGCCAGCUAAGGUCCCAAAGUCAUGGUUAAGUGGGAAACGAUGUGGGAAGGCCCAGACAGCCAGGAUGUUGGCUUAGAAGCAGCCAUCAUUUAAAGAAAGCGUAAUAGCUCACUGGUCGAGUCGGCCUGCGCGGAAGAUGUAACGGGGCUAAACCAUGCACCGAAGCUGCGGCAGCGACACUAUGUGUUGUUGGGUAGGGGAGCGUUCUGUAAGCCGUUGAAGGUGGCCUGUGAGGGUUGCUGGAGGUAUCAGAAGUGCGAAUGCUGACAUAAGUAACGAUAAUGCGGGUGAAAAACCCGCACGCCGGAAGACCAAGGGUUCCUGUCCAACGUUAAUCGGGGCAGGGUGAGUCGACCCCUAAGGCGAGGCCGAAAGGCGUAGUCGAUGGGAAACAGGUUAAUAUUCCUGUACUUGGUGUUACUGCGAAGGGGGGACGGAGAAGGCUAUGUUGGCCGGGCGACGGUUGUCCCGGUUUAAGCAUGUAGGCGGAUGUUCCAGGUAAAUCCGGAACGUCACUAACGCUGAGGUGUGAUGACGAGGCACUACGGUGCUGAAGUGACAAAUGCCCUGCUUCCAGGAAAAGCCUCUAAGCAUCAGGUAACAUCAAAUCGUACCCCAAACCGACACAGGUGGUCAGGUAGAGAAUACCAAGGCGCUUGAGAGAACUCGGGUGAAGGAACUAGGCAAAAUGGUGCCGUAACUUCGGGAGAAGGCACGCUGAUGGUAAGUGAAGUGACUUGCUCAUGGAGCUGAAAUCAGUCGAAGAUACCAGCUGGCUGCAACUGUUUAUUAAAAACACAGCACUGUGCAAACACGAAAGUGGACGUAUACGGUGUGACGCCUGCCCGGUGCCGGAAGGUUAAUUGAUGGGGUUAUCCUCACGGAGAAGCUCUUGAUCGAAGCCCCGGUAAACGGCGGCCGUAACUAUAACGGUCCUAAGGUAGCGAAAUUCCUUGUCGGGUAAGUUCCGACCUGCACGAAUGGCGUAAUGAUGGCCAGGCUGUCUCCACCCGAGACUCAGUGAAAUUGAACUCGCUGUGAAGAUGCAGUGUACCCGCGGCAAGACGGAAAGACCCCGUGAACCUUUACUAUAGCUUGACACUGAACACUGGUCCUUGAUGUGUAGGAUAGGUGGGAGGCUUUGAAGUGUGGACGCCAGUCUGCAUGGAGCCGUCCUUGAAAUACCACCCUUUAAUGGCUGGUGUUCUAACGUGGGCCCGUGAUCCGGGUUGCGGACAGUGUCUGGUGGGUAGUUUGACUGGGGCGGUCUCCUCCUAAAGAGUAACGGAGGAGCACGAAGGUCAGCUAAUCCUGGUCGGACAUCAGGAGGUUAGUGCAAUGGCAUAAGCUGGCUUGACUGCGAGCGUGACGGCGCGAGCAGGUGCGAAAGCAGGUCAUAGUGAUCCGGUGGUUCUGAAUGGAAGGGCCAUCGCUCAACGGAUAAAAGGUACUCCGGGGAUAACAGGCUGAUACCGCCCAAGAGUUCAUAUCGACGGCGGUGUUUGGCACCUCGAUGUCGGCUCAUCACAUCCUGGGGCUGAAGUAGGUCCCAAGGGUAUGGCUGUUCGCCAUUUAAAGUGGUACGCGAGCUGGGUUUAGAACGUCGUGAGACAGUUCGGUCCCUAUCUGCCGUGGGCGCUGGAGAAUUGAGGGGGGCUGCUCCUAGUACGAGAGGACCGGAGUGGACGCAUCACUGGUGUUCGGGUUGUCAUGCCAAUGGCAUUGCCCGGUAGCUAAAUGCGGAAGAGAUAAGUGCUGAAAGCAUCUAAGCACGAAACUUGCCCCGAGAUGAGUUCUCCCUGACCCUUUAAGGGUCCUGAAGGAACGUUGAAGACGACGACGUUGAUAGGCCGGGUGUGUAAGCGCAGCGAUGCGUUGAGCUAACCGGUACUAAUGAACCGUGAGGCUUAACCUU
rnacentral:rRNA from 1 species